GUCCUCACUUUGGCAGGACACAGAUGAAAAUUGGAAGGCUACAAAGAUUAGCAUGGCCCCUGCCCAAGGAGAACACCCAAAUUUGUGAAGCCUUCCAGAUUUUC
ensembl:snRNA U6 U6 spliceosomal RNA